rnacentral:rRNA from 1 species
GUCUCUAAGCCACGGUAGAGACGCGGCGUACGGCUCAGUAACAUGUGGCUAACCUACCCUUGGGACGGGGACAACCCCGGGAAACUGGGGUUAAUACCCGAUGGGCGAGGAGACCUGGAAUGGUUCUUCACCUAAAAGACGUUGAGACCAUGCUUCUCAAUGUUGCCCAAGGAUGGGGCCGCGUCCGAUCAGGUUGUUGGUGAGGUAACGGCUCACCAAGCCUAUAACCGGUACGGGCCGUGGGAGCGGUAGCCCGGAGAUGGGCACUUAGACAAGGGCCCAGGCCCUACGGGGCGCAGCAGUCGCGAAAACUCCGCAAUGCGCGAAAGCGUGACGGGGCUACCCCGAGUGCCGUCCGCUGAGGAUGGCUUUUCCCCGGUGUAAUGAGCCGGGGGAAUAAGGAGAGGGCAAGCCUGGUGUCAGCCGCCGCGGUAAUACCAGCUCUCCGAGUGGUAGGGACGAUUAUUGGGCUUAAAGCGUCCGUAGCCGGCCCGGCAAGUCUUCCGUUAAAUCCAGCGACCUAAUCGUUGGGCUGCGGAAGAUACUGUUGGGCUAGGGGGCGGGAGAGGCCGACGGUAUCCCGGGGUAGGGGUGAAAUCCUAUAAUCCCGGGAGGACCACCAGUGGCGAAGGCUGUCGGCUAGAACGCACUCGACGGUGAGGAACGAAAGCUGGGGGAGCGAACCGGAUUAGAUACCCGGGUAGUCCCAGCUGUAAACGAUGCAGGCUAGGUGUUGGGGUGGCUACGAGCCACCUCAGUGCCGCAGGGAAGCCAUUAAGCCUGCCGCCUGGGAAGUACGGCCGCAAGGCUGAAACUUAAAGGAAUUGGCGGGGGAGCACCACAAGGCGUGAAGCUUGCGGUUUAAUUGGAGUCAACGCCGGGAACCUUACCGGGAGCGACAGCAGAAUGAAAGCCAGAUUGAAGGUCUUGCUGGACAAGCUGAGAGGAGGUGCAUGGCCGUCGCCAGUUCGUGCCGUGAGGUGUCCUGUUAAGUCAGGCAACGAUCGAGACCCGCAUCCUUAGUUGCAACCCCUGCGGAUUCCGCAGGGAGCACACUACGGGUACUGCCGCCGAUAAGGCGGAGGAAGGAGCGAGCCACGGCAGGUCAGUAUGCCCCGAAUCUCCCGGGCCACACGCGAGCUGCAAUGGCAGGGACAAUGGGUUCCAACCUUGAAAGAGGGAGGUAAUCCCCAAACCCUGCCUCAGUUGGGAUCGAGGGCUGCAACCCGCCCUCGUGAACAUGGAAU